GAAUUGACGGGGGCCCGCACAAGCGGUGGAGCAUGUGGUUUAAUUCGAUGCAACGCGAAGAACCUUACCUGGUCUUGACAUCCACGGAAGUUUUCAGAGAUGAGAAUGUGCCUUCGGGAACCGUGAGACAGGUGCUGCAUGGCUGUCGUCAGCUCGUGUUGUGAAAUGUUGGGUUAAGUCCCGCAACGAGCGCAACCCUUAUCCUUUGUUGCCAGCGGUCCGGCCGGGAACUCAAAGGAGACUGCCAGUGAUAAACUGGAGGAAGGUGGGGAUGACGUCAAGUCAUCAUGGCCCUUACGACCAGGGCUACACACGUGCUACAAUGGCGCAUACAAAGAGAAGCGACCUCGCGAGAGCAAGCGGACCUCAUAAAGUGCGUCGUAGUCCGGAUUGGAGUCUGCAACUCGACUCCAUGAAGUCGGAAUCGCUAGUAAUCGUGGAUCAGAAUGCCACGGUGAAUACGUUCCCGGGCCUUGUACACACCGCCCGUCACACCAUGGGAGUGGGUUGCAAAAGAAGUAGGUAGCUUAACCUUCGGGAGGGCGCUUACCACUUUGUGAUUCAUGACUGGGGUGAAGUCGUAACAAGGUAACCGUAGGGGAACCUGCGGUUGGAUCACCUCCU
rnacentral:rRNA from 2 species